rnacentral:rRNA from 1 species
GGGCGGCACCUUGACGGUACCUAACCAGAAAGCCACGGCUAACUACGUGCCAGCAGCCGCGGUAAUACGUAGGUGGCAAGCGUUGUCCGGAAUUAUUGGGCGUAAAGCGCGCGCAGGCGGUUUCUUAAGUCUGAUGUGAAAGCCCCCGGCUCAACCGGGGAGGGUCAUUGGAAACUGGGGAACUUGAGUGCAGAAGAGGAGAGUGGAAUUCCACGUGUAGCGGUGAAAUGCGUAGAGAUGUGGAGGAACACCAGUGGCGAAGGCGACUCUCUGGUCUGCAACUGACGCUGAGGCGCGAAAGCGUGGGGAGCGAACAGGAUUAGAUACCCUGGUAGUCCACGCCGUAAACGAUGAGUGCUAAGUGUUAGAGGGUUUCCGCCCUUUAGUGCUGCAGCAAACGCAUUAAGCACUCCGCCUGGGGAGUACGGUCGCAAGACUGAAACUCAAAGGAAUUGACGGGGGGCCCGCACAAGCGGUGGAGCAUGUGGUUUAAUUCGAAGCAACGCGAAGAACCUUACCAGGUCUUGACAUCCUCUGACAACCCUAGAGAUAGGGCUUCCCCUUUGGGGGCAGAGUGACAGGUGGUGCAUGGUUGUCGUCAGCUCGUGUCGUGAGAUGUUGGGUUAAGUCCCGCAACGAGCGCAACCCUUGAUCUUAGUUGCCAGCAUUCAGUUGGGCACUCUAAGGUGACUGCCGGUGACAAACCGGAGGAAGGUGGGGAUGACGUCAAAUCAUCAUGCCCCUUAUGACCUGGGCUACACACGUGCUACAAUGGGCAGAACAAAGGGCAGCGAAGCCGCGAGGCUAAGCCAAUCCCACAAAUCUGUUCUCAGUUCGGAUCGCAGUCUGCAACUCGACUGCGUGAAGCUGGAAUCGCUAGUAAUCGCGGAUCAGCAUG